UGUUUAAAAAAAAAAAAACAAACCUAGAGAAAGUCAGUGACCAGUGAAAUAGUAGUAUAUAGAAUUGACCAGUAAGUUAUAGUUGGAGAGAAAUAGACUUAGAAAAGAGACUAUGGCUAUCCCGAUGUUUAACCAGUUAUUUCGUCUUUAACUAGUCUUCAAAAUGUUCCAACAGUAUAUUUUCCUUAAAAUGUGAGUUAGAGAGACCAGUCAUGAUUGUAGGAAAUUCCUACAAAAUCCAGCUUUUGCAGUAUGAUAAGUGGACCGCUUGCGAGUGUAAAACUACCAGCCAAUCAUAUCGCGGCAUGAUGGCUUCCAGCUAAUCCCAGCGCAGGGGGCGGGAUAUGUUCCAAAACCAGUGGCGUAAAAAAAGAGAAAAAAAAGAAGUGGUCUGGCGUUUCUGAGUGAGAAGGACGAAGACACGUCUGGGAUCUAAGUGUCCAAGUUACAGUGACUUACUCUCCAAGGCGGGUAUUAUGUUUCUGUCGAUGAAAUGUACAGAAUAGGCGAAAAAAAAUAUUGCAUUUUUGCAUCGUAUUAAGUUUCAGAUAAUGUGUCCUAGCAAGUGUAGGUUAGACACAGAGCUAUAUUUGAGCUAAGUAACUUUUCAGCUGAAAGUGAACAGGCGACAUUCACGGCCCUUGGAUCCGUUAACCUUAAAGCUGGCUAACGUACCUGCAGUGCGUGGAGCUGCUGAACUACAGCCGACUGUUUUAUUCAGUCUUGAGCACUGUCUUCAGCGUCUUACAUUAGACAUUGCAGUUUAUUGCUCUGGCCACAUCUGCAGUCCUCAUGCCUCUCUGCAGCAGGUCUAUGGCAUGUUCAUGCAGGUGAGCAGGAACCCUAGGCAUCUUUCUUCCGCCUUCUGUUUUGCAGAGUCAGUAGAAAGGUCUCUUUAGUGUCUGAAGUUAUUGUAACUGUGACCUUAUUUGCCUACCGCCUGUGAACUGUUCGUGUCUUAAGGACUGUUCCCCUGGUGCAUGUGCAAUAAUUUUUUAUGGUUCAUUGAACAAUCAUGAAAAACAUUGUUUAAACCCUUUCCAAUAAAG
ensembl:lncRNA